UAAAUACAACUAAUAGAUCAUUUAACUUCGGGCAAAAUGUAAAAUUUACACUAAUAGGUCUACAUGUGCUCAUGUAUUAAUUAUAAAUCACUGGCUUUAAAAUGUUUGGAUUUGAGCAUUCAUAUUGAAGACAACAAUCACGAAUGCAUGACUUCGAAGAAAGAAUAAACAGAGAAACCAAUUACAGCACUAUUAGAUUUUUGACAUUUAAAGAACCGCCAUGUUUUUGAGAAUAAUAAAACACCGAGCACACCAUCUCAGCACAUCAGAUGACCAUAACACAAGUACAAACCGGGCAGACGACAAAGUGAACAUCCGGAAGGAGCACGUGCUGACCUACAUGAUCUACUUAGUCAUGAUAUUCAUUUUCAUAUUAUUGUUGCAUGCAUAUAUACGCUAACUUUAUCUAUAUUCAGGAUUAACACUGUGUCGUAUUGUAAAAAUGUUUAAGCUUUAAUUUAUA